AGGAAUAUAAAAACUUUCUACUUUAUAUAACCAGGAAUAAUCUACUACUUCAGAUCUCUUCUACUUUAUCUCGAAUAUUUAUAUAUUAGUUUUAUUUUCUUGUGUUUGAUUGAUUAUUUGUUAUUCUAUACUAAAUAAAUUGAGAGCUAAAUCGGCUUACAUUACUCUGACAUUGCGGCAACCAGCUCGAAAGCUUUGCUCCUCUGGCUGUCGCUCACUACUACUUUUUUGGUUUGAAAUUUCAUAUAUUUAAUUAUCUUUAACUCCUACAAUAUACUUUAUUUUUCUUCCUG